CCGUCUCUAUCUCUCUGUCUCUGUCUCUCUUUAUGUCUGUCUGUCUCCUUAUGUCUCUCUGUUGCUGUGUCUCUCUCUCCCCUCCCCCAGAGAUCUCCACAAGCCCAGCCCCUCUCCCUCCAAUAGUUCCUCAGCAUCCAAGACAGGUACCUGGGCCUUCACAAACGCCCCCUGUCCCGGAAGCAGGGUGAACGUGGAUUUGUUAAACAAGAUCUCAGCUGUGCUCACGACCAGGAGGUGGUUAUGCGAGGUCUGUGGAAGAGAGCGGGUGUGCACUGCACCUGGGCCCCUGAGCACCACGCCUGUGCCCGGCGAAGCAUCAGGACCCCACACACCUUGAUGUACCAGUCAAACGAGAGGUUGCCUUUGAGGGUGGCAUUGAAUUCUUCCUGGAUGCCAAAGAACGGGAUGUCACACUGGAUUAUCUGGCAGACAGCGAUGGAGCAGUUCUGGGGAACGCAGGAGAGGAAGGGACAGCCUCCUUCUCGGGACCAAGAUGCCCCAGCUCCCCACCUGAUAUUGAUGCUGCAUGAGGCGACUGGUAUUCUCUGAGGCCGUGAAGUUGAGAUAUUUAGUGGAGACCUCAUGGCUGAAGGGAGAAAGAAGGCACAGGAGGAAUCUUCUCUGAACACCAGACUCCCAAGAACACUGGCCAUCCGGCAUCUAAUCUUGCAUCUCAUACUGCAUUUGAGAUGCAAGAUUAAUGGCUAGUUUUCUUGCCUGUCUUUGCCACUAAAUUAUCAUCUCUGAGAAGGCAGGAACUACCAUCGUGUGAUCCACCACUGUCCCACCAGCACUCAGCACAAGACCCAGCACGUGGAAUCACUACUAAAGAAGAGAAGAAGAAGAAAAGAAUCCUCAAAGAAAUCAAAGAAAAAAGGAGGGGAGGAGCCAGGAGUUCUGACCUCUGAGUUUUCUGGGAAGAUGGGGUGGUUUAUGCUGCAGCUGGUGCUCUUCAAGGACCCAGGCACUUCGGUGGAGGAGGCAGACUCACAGGCCAGGCGCCAGGAUCGCUGUGAGUGCUGGUUCUGGCAGGCAAGGGAGGCAAAGGCGGUGAUAUCCACCUCCAGCCAUGAGGACGGUGAAGCAUAGGUCAGAUGGAGCCUGAGAAGGAUGUGGUUACCUGGAGCCUGGACACCUUCCGGUAGGACAGGCCAAGCGGGAAGAAGAAGGUGACCUGUGUCCUGUAGGAGUCCUCGCCGUCAUUUCUCACAGUCACUGUCACGUUGAACUCCCGGGGCCCACCCACCACGAGGCAGUCCAGGCUGUGGGAAUAAGACAGCCGGGGGUAGGGCACUGGGGGCUUCCCUGUGGCAAAGCCUGCUUCAGCGGAACGGAGACUCAGGCACUGGAUGAGAGACAACAGUAGAGGGGCAGCCACACGGGACCUCAGAGCCCAGGAACACCCGGCUCCCUUGGGGGCCAGGAGGAGAACACAGCGGGUUAUGGUACGGGUCCUCCUCUGGAGGAGGCGAGGAGGAAAGGAAAGGAAACUCACCUCAUGAAACUGAAGGUGAUGCUGAGGUCAUCCUGGCAAAUGUUGUCAUUGCCACAAUUCUUCUCAAAGGGAAACUUUUAAAAAA